AUGGAAAAGAGUGCAAAGAUUGUAAAAGCCACACCCUGACACCUGCUGUUACAUGAUGUCUUUGAGACAUGACAGGGAAGCUGUACCAAUGAAACCUCAAAAGUAUGCUUACCUAAACAGGACUUACACCAUGAUAACAUCAGUUGACAUGUCAUUGCGGGUGGAGGAAAUUUCAUAAGGUCCCUCUCCUGGAUGAAGAGCUACCGGCAAUCAAUGGCUGGAAAGAAAGAGAGGAGCUAUUUUCUCCAGGCGCCAGUUCCCUGAUAGGAGAUCCAAGCCCAGAUGAUCAGCUCUAAACACGUUCC
rnacentral:lncRNA from 1 species